rfam:Streptomyces rubellomurinus strain ATCC 31215 contig-64, whole genome shotgun sequence.
UUCUUGGGCCUGCUGCGGCGCUAUGAAGUGGAUGUGCGUGUCGAUACCGCCGGCGGUCGCGAUCAGGUGCUCGCCGGAGAUCACCUCGGUGCCCGGGCCGAUCACCAGCUCGGGGUGCACGCCGCUCUGCAGGCGCGGGUUGCCGGCCUUGCCGACGGCGGUGAUGAAGCCGUCCUUGACGCCGAUGUCGCCCUUGACCACGCCGAGCACCGCGUCCAGCACGAUCACGUUGGUGAUCACCAGGUCCAGGGCGCCCUGGAGGCUGGUGGCGGCCGGGUCCUGGGCCAUGCCGUCCCGGAU